UUUGAUCAUGGCUCAGAUUGAACGCUGGCGGCAGGCCUAACACAUGCAAGUCGAACGGUAACAGGAAGCAGCUUGCUGCUUCGCUGACGAGUGGCGGACGGGUGAGUAAUGUCUGGGAAACUGCCUGAUGGAGGGGGAUAACUACUGGAAACGGUAGCUAAUACCGCAUAAUGUCGCAGGACCAAAGAGGGGGACCUUCGGGCCUCUUGCCAUCAGAUGUGCCCAGAUGGGAUUAGCUUGUUGGUGAGGUAACGGCUCACCAAGGCGACGAUCCCUAGCUGGUCUGAGAGGAUGACCAGCCACACUGGAACUGAGACACGGUCCAGACUCCUACGGGAGGCAGCAGUGGGGAAUAUUGCACAAUGGGCGCAAGCCUGAUGCAGCCAUGCCGCGUGUAUGAAGAAGGCCUUCGGGUUGUAAAGUACUUUCAGCGGGGAGGAAGGGGAUAAGGCUAAUAACCUUGUU
rnacentral:rRNA from 2 species